rnacentral:rRNA from 1 species
CAGGCUUAACACAUGCAAGUCGAGGGGCAGCAUGGUCUUAGCUUGCUAAGACUGAUGGCGACCGGCGCACGGGUGAGUAACACGUAUCCAACCUGCCGUCUACUCUUGGACAGCCUUCUGAAAGGAAGAUUAAUACAAGAUGGCAUCAUGAGUCCGCAUGUUCACAUGAUUAAAGGUAUUCCGGUAGACGAUGGGGAUGCGUUCCAUUAGAUAGUAGGCGGGGUAACGGCCCACCUAGUCUUCGAUGGAUAGGGGUUCUGAGAGGAAGGUCCCCCACAUUGGAACUGAGACACGGUCCAAACUCCUACGGGAGGCAGCAGUGAGGAAUAUUGGUCAAUGGGCGAGAGCCUGAACCAGCCAAGUAGCGUGAAGGAUGACUGCCCUAUGGGUUGUAAACUUCUUUUAUAAAGGAAUAAAGUCGGGUAUGCAUACCCGUUUGCAUGUACUUUAUGAAUAAGGAUCGGCUAACUCCGUGCCAGCAGCCGCGGUAAUACGGAGGAUCCGAGCGUUAUCCGGAUUUAUUGGGUUUAAAGGGAGCGUAGAUGGAUGUUUAAGUCAGUUGUGAAAGUUUGCGGCUCAACCGUAAAAUUGCAGUUGAUACUGGAUAUCUUGAGUGCAGUUGAGGCAGGCGGAAUUCGUGGUGUAGCGGUGAAAUGCUUAGAUAUCACGAAGAACUCCGAUUGCGAAGGCAGCCUGCUAAGCUGCAACUGACAUUGAGGCUCGAAAGUGUGGGUAUCAAACAGGAUUAGAUACCCUGGUAGUCCACACGGUAAACGAUGAAUACUCGCUGUUUGCGAUAUACGGCAAGCGGCCAAGCGAAAGCGUUAAGUAUUCCACCUGGGGAGUACGCCGGCAACGGUGAAACUCAAAGGAAUUGACGGGGGCCCGCACAAGCGGAGGAACAUGUGGUUUAAUUCGAUGAUACGCGAGGAACCUUACCCGGGCUUAAAUUGCAGAUGAAUUACGGUGAAAGCCGUAAGCCGCAAGGCAUCUGUGGAGGUGCUGCAUGGUUGUCGUCAGCUCGUGCCGUGAGGUGUCGGCUUAAGUGCCAUAACGAGCGCAACCCUUGUUGUCAGUUACUAACAGGUUCCGCUGAGGACUCUGACAAGACUGCCAUCGUAAGAUGUGAGGAAGGUGGGGAUGACGUCAAAUCAGCACGGCCCUUACGUCCGGGGCUACACACGUGUUACAAUGGGGGGUACAGAGGGCCGCUACCACGCGAGUGGAUGCCAAUCCCAAAAACCUCUCUCAGUUCGGACUGGAGUCUGCAACCCGACUCCACGAAGCUGGAUUCGCUAGUAAUCGCGCAUCAGCCACGGCGCGGUGAAUACGUUCCCGGGCCUUGUACACACCGCCCGUCAAGCCAUGGGAGCCGGGGGUACCUGAAGUGCGUAGCAGCAAGGAGCGCCCUAGGGUAAAACUGGUGACUG